UUCCGUAGGUGAACCUGCGGAGGGAUCAUUACACAAAUAUGAAGGCGGGCUGGAACCUCUCGGGGUUACAGCCUUGCUGAAUUAUUCACCCUUGUCUUUUGCGUACUUCUUGUUUCCUUGGUGGGUUCGCCCACCACUAGGACAAACAUAAACCUUUUGUAAUUGCAAUCAGCGUCAGUAACAAAUUAAUAAUUACAACUUUCAACAACGGAUCUCUUGGUUCUGGCAUCGAUGAAGAACGCAGCGAAAUGCGAUAAGUAGUGUGAAUUGCAGAAUUCAGUGAAUCAUCGAAUCUUUGAACGCACAUUGCGCCCUUUGGUAUUCCAAAGGGCAUGCCUGUUCGAGCGUCAUUUGUACCCUCAAGCUUUGCUUGGUGUUGGGCGUCUUGUCUCUAGCUUUGCUGGAGACUCGCCUUAAAGUAAUUGGCAGCCGGCCUACUGGUUUCGGAGCGCAGCACAAGUCGCACUCUCUAUCAGCAAAGGUCUAGCAUCCAUUAAGCCUUUUUUUUCAACUUUUGACCUCGGAUCAGGUAGGGAUACCCGCUGAACUUA
rnacentral:rRNA from 1 species